AUACGUGUGUCACUCUGCGCCCCUCAGUGAGAAGUGCUGUGGAUUUAGGGUUCGAAGACGGCAGAAAAGGAGAAUUCCUCCAAGCCUCAGCCCACCUGCAGGUUACCUUCCCCUUCACGCACCCUGCAGAGAGCAACUAGGCAGAAAUCUCCCUGAGUCACAUCAUCUCCCCCUCAACCCUCCGGCACAGCCACUGUCCAAGACAAGCAGAAAAAAAAAAAA